GGCAGUCAGAUCCGAACUGGAACUCCGCCACAACCCAGGAAUGUGAAUACCAGUGGACUCCGGAUAGGAGGGCGUGACCAAGGCAGUGGCUCCCAGGGGAUGCCAAUGCUGUGGGCCAAGGCCCACGCUGGAGGAACACUGGCCAGUGGGCAGCUUUGGGGGACCUUUAAAGUGGGUGGAAGCACAGCUGCCCAGCCUGCGCCCACGGCUGCUGCAGGAUCAGGAAACACAGCACACUCCUAAGUGAGUCGUCACCAUGGUGACUUUUGGAUUCCCAUUGCCAGUUCCUGUGGAGUCAGAGAGAUCUUAGCUCAGAAGUGCUGACAGCAGGGGCUGGCUGGCCACUGGCCACAUGGGAAGAGGAGAAAGGCAGCAGGAGCCACCGUGAGGCAAAUGAGCUACAAGACGCCGCUCUGUGUGACUUCCCUCCACAGCUCCCAACACAGGUGAAAUUGGCUCAGAACAGCUCAGCAUGUCCUACUGAGGGGCAAGAAGGAUGCUGAGAAAAUCCCAGGCAGCGUCUCAGCUGGGAUGUAAUUUGAGGGUGAAAAAGGUGUGUUGCUUGCGGUCUCUUCCUUGCUCCUUGCAGGUUAUAUUUGAAAUGAAUGUCAGAGCCAUGCAGCCG
rnacentral:antisense_RNA from 1 species